rfam:Angiostrongylus costaricensis strain Costa Rica genome assembly, scaffold: ACOC_scaffold0001535
GCCUCAUUGGCUCAGGGGCAGAGCGUCUGUCUCGUAAACAGAAGGUCCCUGGUUCGAUUUCAGCAUGAGGAA